UUUGCGUUUCACUUUCAUUCAACAAUCCUUACUCAAAGAACCAAGAACCCAAAUGUCACUUUGAACGGAGUUCAUCAAUACAUUUCUUUUUUCUCUUUUUUUUUUUUUUUUUCAGAAAUUAAUGGCUGGACACGGUUUUUUUUUAUUCAAGUUAUUAAAUUUAGAUAAUUUUAUUUGUUUUAUAGAAUCAAAUUGGUCUUGUUUGGAGGGUUUCUUUUUUUGCAGAGAGAUGAAUGAGAGUUCUAUUAACGAUAAAGAUUUGGCCUGUUUGCAUGAUCUGAAAGAUCUAUGGAGUAAAAAAGCAUAAGCGGAGAGUGGUUGCAGAAAAGAUGAAGAGAAAAAAAUCAAAAUUGAGUUGUGACGUGUCUUAUCUGGGGACUGUGGUUGUGGGAUGCUACAGUUCAUUUCGGGAUUAGGUGGGUUCUGAUUAAAGAAAAAAAAAAAAUGGUGGUUGGGUCCAAUGUAAAAUAUUGAAUAAAAAAGAGAGGAAACUUAGCUGCCAUUGUUGACACUUGUUGCCCCUUGAAACUUGCAAGUAGUUUGUUCAGCUUGCUGAAUUGACUAUUGUACCCCUAUUUUACUUCACUCUUUGAAACUCUUUAAAUAUGAGAAUCGGUAGACAGACUCCUGCAAGUGAGAUUUCUCAACAAGUUUUGGUCUUCUUGAAAGAAAUUAGCCAAAGAAGAACAUGUUAAGCUCCGAGCUAAACCACCACAGUCAUGCUCAAACUCAAAACCAUGUUGCCAUCGAAAGAUGACUUUAAUGGCAAGGAACAAAAUUUCAUUUCAUUGGCGCAAUGCAGUGUAUCAGAGAUUGGAAAUAAAUCAAGAAGAAAAAGAGAAAGAUGGCAAAAGUAGCAAGACAACUGCCAAAGAAUGCCAAGAAAGAGAGAAGAAUCUGUAUAUUUUGUAUAUUCACUCUUAAUGAAAUGUAUAACCCUAUUUAUACAAAUCUAGUGUGAUAAUGAAAGGCAAUAGCAAUAAUGCUCGAAUUUCCCAAUCACAUGAAAUCCGGACAUUA